AGUGAACGCUGGCGGCAGGCCUAACACAUGCAAGUCGAACGGCAGCACAAGAGAGCUUGCUCUCUGGGUGGCGAGUGGCGGACGGGUGAGGAAUGCAUCGGAAUCUGCCCAUUUGUGGGGGAUAACCUCGGGAAACCGGGACUAAUACCGCAUACGACCUACGGGUGAAAGCAGGGGAUCUUCGGACCUUGCGCAGAUGGAUGAGCCGAUGCCGGAUUAGCUAGUUGGAGGGGUAAAGGCCCACCAAGGCGACGAUCUGUAGCUGGUCUGAGAGGAUGAUCAGCCACACUGGGACUGAGACACGGCCCAGACUCCUACGGGAGGCAGCAGUGGGGAAUAUUGGACAAUGGGCGCAAGCCUGAUCCAGCCAUGCCGCGUGUGUGAAGAAGGCCUUCGGGUUGUAAAGCACUUUUGUUGGGAAAGAAAAGCAGCCGGUUAAUACCCGGUUGUCAUGACGGUACCCAAAGAAUAAGCACCGGCUAACUUCGUG
rnacentral:rRNA from 1 species